rnacentral:rRNA from 1 species
UACGUAGGGUGCAGGCGUUAAUCGGAAUUACUGGGCGUAAAGCGUGCGCAGGCGGUUUGUUAAGACAGGUGUGAAAUCCCCGGGCUCAACCUGGGAACUGCGCUUGUUACUGGCAGACUGGAGUGUGGCAGAGGGGGGUGGAAUUCCACGUGUAGCAGUGAAAUGCGUAGAGAUGUGGAGGAACACCGAUGGCGAAGGCAACCCCCUGGGCUAACACUGACGCUCAUGCACGAAAGCGUGGGGAGCAAACAGG